rnacentral:rRNA from 1 species
AUACGUAGGGGGCGAGCGUUGUCCGGAAUGAUUGGGCGUAAAGGGCGCGUAGGCGGCCCGGUAAGUCUGGAGUGAAAGUCCUGUUUUUAAGAUGGGAAUUGCUUUGGAUACUGUCGGGCUUGAGUGCAGGAGAGGUAAGUGGAAUUCCCAGUGUAGCGGUGAAAUGCGUAGAGAUUGGGAGGAACACCAGUGUCGAAGGCGACUUACUGGACUGUAACUGACGCUGAGGCGCGAAAGUGUGGGGAGCAAACAGGAUUAGAUACCCUGGUAGUCCACACUGUAAACGAUGAAUGCUAGGUGUAGGGGGUAUCGACCCCUUCUGUGCCGCAGUCAACAC